UACACAGAAUGGGGAUAACUCCUCAAGAUAUCCUUAAACCUCUCCCACACUUCAUGAAAAGACUCAAGAUCAUACUGACAGAAACCAUGAUCUCAUUCAUGAAAAG